AAUCGGAGUCGACAACAGGGAUUGCCCCAGUAACGGCGAGUGAAGCGGCAACAGCUCAAAUUUGAAAUCUGGCCCCCCCGGGGGGCCCAAUUUGUAUUUUGCAAAGGAGGUUUUGGGCGGGCCCCCUUCCAAUUUCCCGGGACGGGGAGCCCCUAAAGGGGGAAACCCCCGUCGGGUCGGAGGCCCAGCCGCUGUAAGGUUCCUUCAACAAGCCAAGAAUUUUGGGAAGGUGGCUCUAAAUGGGAGGUAUUUGUUUCCUAAAGCUAAAAAUUGGCCAAAAACCAAUAGCGCACAAUUAAAGGGAUCAAAAAAUGAAAAGCAUUUUGAAAAAAGGGUUAAACAGUACUUGAAAUUGUUAAAAGGGAACCGCUUGUGACCAAACUUGGGCCCGGCGAAUCAUCCGGCGUUUUCGCCGGUGCACUUCGCCGCACCCGGGCCAGCAUCAGUUCGCGGCGGGGGAUAAAGGCGCCGGGAACGUGGCUCCCCCGGGAGUGUUAUAGCCCGGCGCGCAAUGCCCCGCGGCGGACUGAGGUUCGCGCAUCCGCAAGGAUGCUGGCGUAAUGGUUACCAGUGACCCGUCUUGAAACACGGACCAAGGAGUCGUCCUCGUAUGCGAGUGUUCGGGUGUCAAACCCCUACGCGCAAUGAAAGUGAACGCAGGUGAGAGCCUCACCGCGCAUCAUCGACCGAUCCUGAUGUUCUCGGAUGGAUUUGAGUGAGAGCAUACGGCCCCAGACCCGAGAGAGUGUGAUCUAUGUGUGUGUAGUGAGAAGCCAGAAGACACUCUGGUGGCUCUCGCAGCGUCUCUGACGUGCAUCUCGAUCGACAUAUGUGCAUGUGGGCGAGAGAGACUAAUCGCAUCCUCUAGUAUCUGGUCUCCGCGAGCUUCCCCCCCUGGAAAAAAAAAAAAAA
rnacentral:rRNA from 1 species